rnacentral:lncRNA from 1 species
CUACCAUUUGAUUUUUAUGGGGGGGGGGGGGCUAGGAUGAAAUUUGAAAAAAAUAGGCAGGACAGGAGUUUUGAGUAAAAAAAAGGCAGGAUGAGACACUUGCAAAAAAAAAAGUCAGGACGACAAUUUAGGUAAAAAAAAAGUCAGGAUAAACUAAAAAAAAAAAAAGGCAGGACCGAACAGAGUGAAAAAUAAAAAGGCAGGACAGAGAUUACAGCUAAAAAAAAAAUGCAGGACAAAAUUUUUCAUCCUAGCCCCCCCCCCCCCCCCCAUAAAAAUCAAAUGGUAGCUCCCUUAAU